UACGUAGGCAGCGAGCGUUGUUCGGAGUUACUGGGCGUAAAGCGUGCGUAGCGGUGCCAUAAGUCUGUCGUGAAAUCCUGAGGCUCAACCUCGGGCGUGCGAUGGAUACUGCCGGGCUAGAGGGUGGUAGAGGCGAGUGGAAUUCCCGGUGUAGCGGUGAAAUGCGCAGAUAUCAGGAGGAACACCGGUGGCGAAGGCGGCAUCCUGGACCGGCAUUGACGCUGAAUAGCGAAAGCCAGGGGAGCAAACGGG
rnacentral:rRNA from 1 species